rnacentral:rRNA from 1 species
UAGUCCACGCGGUAAACGAUGUCAACUAGCCGUUGGAAGACAUGAUCUUUUAGUGGCGCCGCUAACGCAUUAAGUUGACCGCCUGGGGAGUACGGCCGCAAGGUUAAAACUCAAAUGAAUUGACGGGGGCCCGCACAAGCGGUGGAGCAUGUGGUUUAAUUCGAUGCAACGCGAAGAACCUUACCUGGUCUUGACAUCCAGAGAAGACGCUAGAGAUAGUGUUGUGCCUUCGGGAACUCUGAGACAGGUGCUGCAUGGCUGUCGUCAGCUCGUGUUGUGAAAUGUUGGGUUAAGUCCCGUAACGAGCGCAACCCUUAUCCUUAUUUGCCAUCAUUAAGUUGGGAACUCUAAGGAGACUGCCGGUGACAAACCGGAGGAAGGUGAGGACGACGUCAAGUCAUCAUGGCCCUUACGACCAGGGCUACACACGUGCUACAAUGGUGAGUACAGAGGGCAGUGAAACCGCGAGGUGGAACCAAUCCCAAAAAACUCAUCGUAGUCCGGA